rnacentral:rRNA from 1 species
CAAGCCCUGGAAACGGGGUCUAAUACCGGAUAGCACUCCCGCCCUCCUGGGUGGGGGUUGAAAGCUCCGGCGGUGGAGGAUGAGCCCGCGGCCUAUCAGCUGGUUGGUGAGGUAACGGCUCACCAAGGCGACGACGGGUAGCCGGCCUGAGAGGGCGACCGGCCACACUGGGACUGAGACACGGCCCAGACUCCUACGGGAGGCAGCAGUGCAGCAGUGGGGAAUAUUGGACAAUGGGCGCAAUGCAGCGACGCCGCGUGGGGGAUGACGGCCUUCGGGUUGUAAACCUCUUUCAGCAGGGAAGAAGCCCUAGGGUGACGGUACCUGCAGAAGAAGCGCCGGCUAACUACGUGCCAGCAGCCGCGGUAAUACGUAGGGCGCAAGCGUUGUCCGGAAUUAUUGGGCGUAAAGAGCUCGUAGGCGGCUUGUCACGUCGGGUGUGAAAGCCCGGGGCUUAACCCCGGGUCUGCAUUCGAUACGGGCUGGCUGGAGUGUGGUAGGGGAGAUCGGAAUUCCUGGUGUAGCGGUGAAAUGCGCAGAUAUCAGGAGGAACACCGGUGGCGAAGGCGGAUCUCUGGGCCAUUACUGACGCUGAGGAGCGAAAGCGUGGGGAGCGAACAGGAUUAGAUACCCUGGUAGUCCACGCCGUAAACGGUGGGAACAGCUGUUGGCAAGUUUACUUGUCGGUGGCGUGCCGCAGCUAACGCAUUAAGUUCCCCGCC